GUCAGGGGGCGUCUCCCAGCCAGCAGGAGACCCUGGGCGCCCGGGUGGCCGGGGGAGUUCUGCCCGCCGCGCGCCCUCUGGGUCCCCGGUCCGGCGUCCCGCAGCUCAGUGCAACCGCGUGAGGAGGCGAGACGCACGCCAGUCCGCCUCCGGACGCCGAGUUCUCGCCUCUCCCGCUAGCUGGGCGGCCUCCGGGUUAUCCCCGGGGACCGCGCGCGCGGCUUCGCUCGCUCCUGCCAAGCGGGGCGGACCGAGCGCGCCCCGGGCGUCUGCGCUCUUCGCCAGCGCAAAGUGCGCGGGGCUUGGCACCUUCCCGCGAUUGGAGCCGGGCCAGCGCCACUGGUGGCUGAGGGGCCCGACCCCGCGGGGGAAAAGCCCGGAAUUCCCGCAGGUCGGUGGGACUGGUAACCCCAGGUCUUAGAUGACGGGACCCGAGGGCUCUCCAAACUGGCCAUUCCAGCUGCUGAUUUCAGGGGUCCCCAGAAGCAGCCGGCGAGGCCGCCGUGAUUUCUCUUCAUUUAUUUCCUCACUUCUCUAAAGGACCUGCCACGAUCCCGCGAGCGCAAAGACAAAACCACGUAUAUGUUUUAUUCUUCUUAUUUAUUGCCCAGAUCUCAGUAGGAAUGUAAAGGAUGAAAAGGAGUUCGGUGACAGCGCACCCCCAAGAUCACCGCCUCUGAAGCUCUGUUGGUUGCAGGGGAGCCAGUGUGCGCCAGUUCACCUGCACACACCGGUUCACGGUUGUGGACGCAGGCCUCCUGCGCGGAGGAGUCACCCCGCAAAGUGCAGUGUGAUGUCCUGGAGCACGGGUAGAGGUCUGGGGAGGCACCUGGUGCCGCAGAAACAUCUAGAAGCUGGGCAAAGACCUCGGAGAGUGGUUACCAUGGAGAUCCUUACCCUCCAUCGGGCACACGGCUUUUUAAAUCCUGACACGGGCAGCACCGAAAAGCGUCCCUUGGGUGUGUUGGAAGCCAGAACGCACGUCAGGGUGCCCCCACGGCCUGGAAAGAAGUUUGCUGAAGGUCUCAAGCCAACCCAUCCUCCUCCCGCAGCCACGUGAAGGAAAAUUCUGGAGACGGGUUCUCCGGGGACGGCAACUAAUUGAAUUCCCUGAAAGAUUCUUUCUUCUCUCCCUAGGCUGUGAGUUUCUGUCAACUUCCCUGCCAGUUUCAGGAAGAUAAAAUGGUACAUCAGUUCCUUGUAUUCAUAAAAAUAAUCACAAUUCGCAAAAUUGAAUCUCACCAGAAAACCCAGGAAAAAUGAGAAAGACCCCUUGCUGGGGUUGCAGCCAUGCAAGAAUCUUUAGCAGUCUUGCUUUUGUGGGUCUGCCCUGUGUCAUCACUAGCCCCAUCACACUAGGAUGUGCUUUACAGUUACCGAAGUGAGGGAAAGGCUUGGGGGGGGGGGUGUCACCCGACUCGACAAAUGGGGAGGGGAGGGCUGGUAACAUCUCUGUUCCACUCUGCAGAAGCAUUCUGUCCCUGCUGACAUACCAGUAAACUGUGAUCAGGAAGUGAGGCUUUUGCUGUCUAUGAAUAUAUGGAACAUUUCACAGGAGUCAGCUGCUAAAUGCUUUCAUAGAUUAAUACUUACUUCAUACUCACAAUAAUCCCAUGAUGUAGCUACUGUUACCUUGAUUUAGAAUUGAGGAAACUGAGGCUAGAGGGCUAUAAGAACUUGCCCCAGGUCACCUGGCUUUUAAGAGGCAGAAGCAGGACUGCAGUUAGGUCAGUCUGACCCCAAACCUCUCCCACUGCCUCAGUGGCACACCUAGACCUAAGAUGCCACCUGUCUUCUUUUGCUGUGAUGCUGCCUGCAUCUCCCAGUGAAUGUAAAAUGCCCCCUGCAUUGUGAUUCAACUCUGCCCCUCAUAUUUAUCCGAAUCAGUAAAUUAAUAGGCAGGAUCCAAAUUGACGUCUUAUAAACGAGAAAAUUUAAAGAAAUUAAGCAGCCUAGCAGUGGGUAGUAGAAAGGAGCAGGAAAUAGAAACCAGAUCUCUGUCACUCUCAAACUUGCCAGGGACUCUGGCACUCUGGUUUGGUUUGUAAUAUUAAUAAAUGUUUACUGGGUUCCAGACAGUGGUUCUAGGAGCUCUCUUAUGCCUCAUUUCAUUUAAUAUCACCAGUUUGCAGACAGAGAAGCUUGAUGAACCUGUCCGAGGUCACAGGGAUAAUAAAUAGUGGAGCUGAAGUUCAGACCCUGGUCUGACUCCCUGCAACUCCCUGCCCUCUGUUCAAGGUGAUUGUGAGCCUUCACCUCUGCAGAUGGAAUCAUUUAAUAUGUACUGCUAUUCCAUAUAUGUAUAUUACUACUAUUUUUAAAUGACAAUUUACUUAGUAGAUUAUAAAGUUUGAUAAUACUCAGAACUGGAGAAAAUGCAGGACACAAACAUUCUCAUAUACUGUGGGUGAAAUUAUCAGUUGCUGCAGCCUCUUUGGAAGUGAGUUGGUCCUGUCUGUUACAGUUACAACAAAGGAACCUGACUCAGUAGUUACCCUUCUAGGAAUUUAUCCUAUAGGUUUAUUUGUAGCAACAACCAAAGUUCCAUGUUCAAGCAAGUUUAUUGUGGCAUUGUUCAUAAUAGCAAAAACCAGAAACAACCAGAAUGCUAAGCAAAGGCACUGGUUACAUAAAGGAUGGUCCCUACUUGGAAGGGAUUACAAUGUAGCCCUCAAAAAGAAGAGGGCAGGUCUGUAUGCACUGCUAGGAAGAAAUUGCCAAGACCUGUUACUAAGGAGAAAAUACAAGUUCCUCAGCAGUAUUGCAGUAUGAUUAAAUUUGUAUAAAACCGAAGAGUAUAAAACAUUCCAGGAAAAUUAUACAAGUAAUUAAUUAUUAACAGUAAUUACCUCUGGAAAUUGGGAUGGGGCAGGAAUGUUGUUCUUUUAUGACCU